GAUGAACGCUAGCGGGAGGCCUAACACAUGCAAGCCGAGCGGGAUUUGUUGGUUAGCUUGCUAACUAACAAUGAGAGCGGCGUACGGGUGCAUAGCACGUGUGCAACCUGCCUUUAUCUGGGGGAUAGCCUUUCGAAAGGAAGAUUAAUACCCCAUAACAUAUUGAUUGGCAUCAGUUAAUAUUGAAAGCUCCGGCGGAUAGAGAUGGGCACGCGUAAGAUUAGCUAGUUGGUGAGGUAACGGCUCACCAAGGCUGCGAUCUUUAGGGGGCCUGAGAGGGUGAUCCCCCACACUGGUACUGAGACACGGACCAGACUCCUACGGGAGGCAGCAGUGAGGAAUAUUGGACAAUGGGUGAGAGCCUGAUCCAGCCAUCCCGCGUGAAGGACUAAGGACCUAUGGUUUGUAAACUUCUUUUAUACAGGGAUAAACCUACUCUCGUGAGGGUAGCUGAAGGUACUGUAUGAAUAAGCACCGGCUAACUCCGUG
rnacentral:rRNA from 1 species